rnacentral:rRNA from 1 species
AUACGGAGGAUGCGAGCGUUAUCCGGAUUUAUUGGGUUUAAAGGGUGCGUAGGCGGUUUGUUAAGUCAGUGGUGAAAGUUUGCGGCUCAACCGUAAAAUUGCCAUUGAAACUGGCAGACUUGAGUACAGUAGAGGUAGGCGGAAUUCGUGGUGUAGCGGUGAAAUGCAUAGAUAUCACGAAGAACUCCAAUUGCGAAGGCAGCUUACCGGAGUGUAACUGACGCUGAGGCACGAAAGUGUGGGGAUCAAACAGGAUUAGAUACCCUGGUAGUCCACACAGUAAACGAUGAAUGCUAGAUGUUGGCGAUAUACAGUCAGCGUCAAAGAGAAAUCAUUAAGCAUUCCACCUGGGGAGUACGCCGGCAACGGUGAA